rnacentral:rRNA from 1 species
GACGAAGGGGGCUAGCGUUGUUCGGAAUUACUGGGCGUAAAGGGUGCGUAGGCGGGUCUUUAAGUCAGGGGUGAAAUCCUGGAGCUCAACUCCAGAACUGCCUUUGAUACUGAGGAUCUUGAGUUCGGGAGAGGUGAGUGGAACUGGCGAGUGUAGAGGUGAAAUUCGUAGAUAUUCGGCAAGAACACCAGUGGCGAAGGCGGCUCACUGGCCCGAUACUGACGCUGAGGCACGAAAGCGUGGGGAGCAAACAGGGAUU